rnacentral:ncRNA from 1 species
CCGCUGGGGGCGCCGAUCGGCUGAGAUGGAUGGCGACAUCCGGACCCUUGGAACCUGAAGUGGAUAAUCCCACCGUAGGAAAGCGGA